AGAAUGGAAGUCCAGAAAAAAACUUUUUUUAAAUUAAAAAUUGAAGUUUUUUUAAUUUGUGCAGAAACAAUUAUUUAUAUUAAAGACAAGAAGACCCUAUGAAUUUAUUAAAUUUUUAUUUAAUAUGUAAUUACUAUUAGAAAAAUUUUGGCUGGGGCGGCUAGAAAAUAUUAUAAACUUUUUAAAAAUAAAAUGAUCCAUUAUUAAUGAUUUUAUGUUAAAUACUCUAGGGAUAACAGCGUUAUAUUUUUUGAUAGAUCAUAUUGACAAAAAAGUUUGCGACCUCGAUGUUGGAUUAGGAUACUUUUUUAAUGAAGAUAUUAAAAAAAGAAGUUUGUUCAACUUUUAAUUUCCUACUUGAUCUGAGUUCAGACCGGA
rnacentral:rRNA from 1 species